rnacentral:rRNA from 1 species
GUAGGUGGCAAGCGUUGUCCGGAAUUAUUGGGCGUAAAGCGCGCGCAGGCGGUUCUUUAAGUCUGAUGUGAAAGCCCACGGCUCAACCGUGGAGGGUCAUUGGAAACUGGAGAACUUGAGUACAGAAGAGGAAAGCGGAAUUCCACGUGUAGCGGUGAAAUGCGUAGAGAUGUGGAGGAACACCAGUGGCGAAGGCGGCUUUCUGGUCUGUAACUGACGCUGAGGCGCGAAAGCGUGGGGGAGCAAACAGGAUUAGAUACCCUGGUAGUCCACGCCGUAAACGAUGAGUGCUAAGUGUUAGGGGGUUUCCGCCCCUUAGUGCUGCAGCUAACGCAUUAAGCACUCCGCCUGGGAGUACGGCCGCACGGCUG